rnacentral:rRNA from 1 species
UACGGGGGGGGUAAGCGUUGUUCGGAAUUACUGGGCGUAAAGGGCUCGUAGGCGGCCAACUAAGUCAUACGUGAAAUCCCUCAGCUUAACUGGGGAACUGCGUGUGAUACUGGAUGGCUUGGAUUUGGGAGAGGGAUGCGGGAAUUCCAGGUGUAGCGGAUGAAAUGGCGUAGAUAUCUGGAGGAACACCGGUGGCGAAGGCGGCAUCCUGGA